ACGAACGCUGGCGGCGUGCCUAAUACAUGCCCGUAGAACGCUGAAGGAGGAGCUUGCUUCUCUGGAUGAGUUGCGAACGGGUGAGUAACGCGUAGGUAACCUGCCUGGUAGCGGGGGAUAACUAUUGGAAACGAUAGCUAAUACCGCAUAACAGUAGAUAUCGCAUGAUAUCUACUUGAAAGGUGCAAUUGCAUCACUACCAGAUGGACCUGCGUUGUAUUAGCUAGUUGGUGAGGUAACGGCUCACCAAGGCGACGAUACAUAGCCGACCUGAGAGGGUGAUCGGCCACACUGGGACUGAGACACGGCCCAGACUCCUACGGGAGGCAGCAGUAGGGAAUCUUCGGCAAUGGACGGAAGUCUGACCGAGCAACGCCGCGUGAGUGAAGAAGGUUUUCGGAUCGUAAAGCUCUGUUGUAAGAGAAGAACGAGUGUGAGAGUGGAAAGUUCACACUGUGACGGUAUCUUAACAGAAAGGGACGGCUAACUACGUG
rnacentral:rRNA from 1 species